GACGUAGGGGACGAGCGUUGUCCGGAUUCAUUGGGCGUAAAGCGCGCGUAGGCGGUUCGGUAAGUCGGGUGUGAAAACACGAGGCUCAACCUCGUGCGUGCAUCCGAUACUGCCGGACUAGAGGUAGGUAGGGGAGAUCGGAAUUCCUGGUGUAGCGGUGAAAUGCGCAGAUAUCAGGAGGAACACCGGUGGCGAAGGCGGAUCUCUGGGCCUUACCUGACGCUCAGGCGCGAAAGCUAGGGGGGAGCGAACAGG
rnacentral:rRNA from 1 species